CUACAUGUAGCUAUUUUGAAGUGCAUGCAUUUAUUGACUGCAUUAAAAGAAAAGGAAAAGAUAACUGGUGCACAUACCCUAUGAUGUCCUUUGUAAAUUUUAUUUACCUUAAGUUCAUGCAGUUCAUAAAACCCGUAAGAAUGGAUAAUCCCACAAAGAGUGUGGCCAGACUUCACCAGAGAACGAUAGUGUUGACAAAGGAAGCAAGCAUUGCACCAAUAGUAUACACACGAGAGCUCUUCAACCAAGAUGUGCCUCAGUGCCUCUGAUAUGAACAAAGCUGUUUGAAAUCGAAGGAAAUGUGAGGAGGCAAUAAGUACUACAGCUUACAAUGAAUACUAAAUUAUUCAUAAUAUGAUUUCAACAAAUUGUUCUGCAAGAAAUUACAACCCUCCGCAAAACCCUAGACAUGCUUCAGUAAGUCAGUUUUCACUUUAUGUGGAAUUGCAAUAUGGACCUGCAGUAUAUAGCUAAUUUUAAUUCACGGUUCCCGUAAUAGGUCACGAGGUGACAUGUACAAGCAAUCAAAUCAAACUUCAUCUACCACACUAACUGUAACAUCAAACAAGACCGCUCUGAAAAUCGUACUAAAAAUAGAGUUAUCUAACCAUAGAAGGGAAAUUACAUAGUUCUAGAUGAUGAUCCUUUAUAACAAAUUACUAUAUUGGGGAUUUAGAUUUCAUGUCUUUUACAUAUACACGUAUUUACAUUUCCGAAUGUUUUUGCCUUUGAUAGAUACAGAUUGUACUGAUGGCUAUUUUCUCAUGAAUGCGUUGCAAAUGUGACCAAUGCGCGUAUGAAUCUUAAUCAAUAUACAUGUAGUACGUCUAUGAAUUCCGAUAGAAAUUAAAGUAAAUUGUAAAUAUGAAAUAUAUUUGACAAUACAUGAGGGUAUACACUGCAGCGCAUCACGCCGGCAUACGUAUGUGUCUAUAAAAUCAACCUUUGGUCGAGAAAAUUAUGUAACAUUGGAUAUGCCAAAAUACUUUAGGUCAAUUAUAUCGCAGUUUAGAUGUGGUAGUUUACCUUUAAGAAUAGAGACGGGAAGAUAUUAUGGGGAACCUGCUGUUGAAAGAAUAUGCUCAUUGUGUUCAUUAAAUUGUGUGGAAGACGAAAUUCAUUUUUUACUCUAUUGUCCAUUGUAUUCUAAACUCAGAACAACUUUGUUUGAAAACACGGGAUUUGAUCAGAUGUCAAUGUCAGAUGUAGAGGUUCUUUGAAUGUUAAUAACAAACUACCCAAGACAAUUAGCAAAAUACUUGUACUCCUCCUUUUCUCUUAGACAAUCUAUUACAUUUGGAAAAAUCAACAACUGAGCUAUUUAUACAUUAUAUACUUAUUAUACAUGUAUACACAUGUAUGUAUAUAUAAUUAUAGAAAAUGUUAUUAUGCGCAAUUAUUUGCAUUAUAUAUUAUUAAAUCAACGUUUAAAGUAGCAUAUAAGCCCGACGGGCCGGGUGUUUAUUGAUUUGUAUAUUGUGAUGAAAUUGGAUGUAUGAAUAUAUGUACACAUGCCACUAUAAUAAAUAAAAUUACUUACUUACUUUCAAGCGUAACAGUUCA